UAGCGUAUAUUAAAGUUGUUGCAGUUAAAACGCUCGUAGUCGGAUUUCGGGGCGUGCGUGCCGGUCUGCCGAUGGGUAUGCACUGGCGUUGCGCGUCCUUUCUUUCGGAGCCUGCGGCUGCUCUUAGCUGAGCGGUGGUGGGAGACGGAUCGUUUACUUUGAAAAAAUCAGAGUGUUUCAAGCAGGCAGCUCGCUCUUGCAUGGAUUAGCAUGGGAUAAUGAAAUAGGACUCUGGUGCUAUUUUGUUGGUUUCGAACACCGGAGUAAUGAUUAACAGGGACAGUCAGGGGCACUCGUAUUCCGCCGAGAGAGGUGAAAUUCUCAGACCAGCGGAAGACGAACCACUGCGAAAGCAUUUG
rnacentral:rRNA from 1 species